GGGGUUGUGCCUCAGCGGUAGAGUGCUCACCUCACAUGUGCGUGGCCCUGGGUUCUAUCCUCAGCACCACA
rnacentral:tRNA from 1 species